CUGCGGAAGGAUCAUUAUUGAAAUAACCUGGCGGGUUGUUGCUGGCUCUCUAGGGAGCAUGUGCACACCUUGUCAUCUUUAUAUCUCCACCUGUGCACCUUUUGUAGACCCCUCCAGGUCUAUGUUGCUUCAUUUACCCCCAAUGUAUGUUGAUAGAAUGUCGUGGCUAUGAAAUCUAUACAACUUUCAGCAACGGAUCUCUUGGCUCUCGCAUCGAUGAAGAACGCAGCGAAAUGCGAUAAGUAAUGUGAAUUGCAGAAUUCAGUGAAUCAUCGAAUCUUUGAACGCACCUUGCGCUCCUUGGUAUUCCGAGGAGCAUGCCUGUUUGAGUGUCAUUAAUAUAUAUCAACCAUUCUUUUUCUUGAGUGGCUUGGAUGUGGGGGGUUUGCUGGCCUUUUUCGGAAGGUUCAGCUCCUCUGAAAUGCAUUAGCAGAACUAUCUGUUCAUUCAUUGGUGUGAUAACUAUCUACGCUACUGGGUGCAAGGCAGUUCAGCUUCCUAACAGUCUUUGGACAGACAAUUCAUCAUUUUAUGUGACCUCAAAUCAGGUAGGACUACCCGCUGAACUUAAGCAUAUC
rnacentral:rRNA from 1 species